rnacentral:rRNA from 1 species
UACGUAGGGGGCAAGCGUUGUCCGGAUUUAUUGGGCGUAAAGAGCGUGUAGGCGGCUAGGUAGGUCCGUUGUGAAAACUCGAGGCUCAACCUCGAGACGUCGAUGGAAACCAUCUAGCUAGAGUCCGGAAGAGGAGAGUGGAAUUCCUGGUGUAGCGGUGGAAUGCGCAGAUAUCAGGAAGAACACCGACGGCGAAGGCAGCUCGCUGGGACGGUACUGACGCUGAGGCGCGAAAGCGUGGGGAGCGAACAGG